GGGUGAGAAACGGAGGCCUUCAGCCAACAGCUGGGAGAAGCUGAGUCCCAUCAGCCAUUCAAAAGACUGCAGCCCCAGCCAAGAGUUUGAUGUAACCUCAGGAGAGACCCUGAGCCAGAACCACCUAGGCCAACGAGCUAUACCUAGUGAUUCCAAAGUCCACAUAUAUUUACUCUGUUCUCACUGUACAAAGUAACCACUCUGAAGUCAAAAAAGCUGGGAUACAUGAAGACUGCCAUCCCUUGAGUCACUUGCCCUGUAGCUGCCACUGUUGGAAAAGGGCUUGCUUCUGUGUCCUUGUGCCCACUUUGAAAAUCCCUGGGAAGUCCUUGGAGUCAGAUGAGCAGGCCUCCGCCACUCUGCCAAAAAGUCUGUUCAGAAGUUUCACAUCACUAGAGAAGAGAGAAGAAGGACAUUUGUACUGGGAGGAGUCGACCGGUCCCAGUAAGGAGAAAGUAGCUACAGCGUCAUGGGUGAGCUGGGUCCCCCAAAAAGGAACUUUAAGGGAAUGGACUGAAUCAAGUCUGAGAUGUCCCCAAAGCAAGACCAAAGAACUGAGGAAGAGAAGCAUUCAUCAGAAACCAAAAUUCAGCUACAAGUGAGCAUCCAGAUGGAGGUAUUAUGAAGAGGAACUGAGACUGAGGGCAAAAGGUGCCAGCCAGAAUCCUGGAUAGGAGAGCAAGAACCAGGACCUCAUUUAAGAGACAACCUGCUUAAGGCAGAGUAAGCACAAAUGGGCACUCAACAUCAAUGAAGUAACAGCAAAGUCACAUAAUAAAAGCAUGGAAUUAAGACAAGCUGAAGAUUCGGAUGCAAUAAAACAACC
rnacentral:lncRNA from 1 species